UUCAGGCCCUUACUUUGUUGUUGGGGCAAGGCAAUGAUCUCUUUUCUGAACUUUUUGCACAAUUCUCUUGACUUGGCCAUGGCAUGAAACAUUACUAUCAACAGUCUGGGUAUUUGAGGACUUUCAUUUAAAGCACACCUGAUGCAACUAAUACACCUCUUUAAUAGUUUCUUUAGGUGUGGCUGUAACUACAUCCCCAUCCAUCCAUUGUGUUAUGCUUAUCUGUGAUCGAGUUGCAAGGGAUAACAGUUUUAGGAGGGAAACCUAGAAGCUCAUUUUAGCCACUUAUAUCCAGGAUCUAUCAGUUGUGAAAUUAAUGUUGUGACCAGGCGAGAGUCUGACAGUAGAUGAAGAGUUUGGGCUUCUUCUUUACCACCACGGACCAGAACAGCAUAUUCUGCAGAUGAGGCCCCAAUUCCCAAUUUGUUGAUCAGUCUGAUGCUUCAUUAUGCCAUCAUUCAUUAACAAGUCACCAAGGUACUUACUGUGAACUCCUCUGCUCAAGGUGGAGACAGAUUGCAGAUUUGAAUGGAGCAAUCCACCCUGAUUUAAAAAUGUGUAGCUUGUAGUGGAGGAUAAAAAAUUUUGGGGGCAACUGUAUUUUGCAACAAACUCCGGAUUACAUAACCCUAAGAUGCCUGAUCAUAAUAGUAGCAAGUAGUAACAAAUGUGGUGUGAGAAGAGUUUUACAUGCACAAAAGAACAUGAGGUACUGUGUUGGGUUUUAAAAAGGUGUCAUACGAGCACAGAGUGGAGAGGAGCCAAAAGGCAACGGAUUCAGUGCGGAUGGGCCCUGUGAUCCCACACCUGCAGAAAGGUGCCCUGCCUGAGGUGUAGCCCGCUCACCCUCGAGGCUCACAGCACAGAUGAUUGAUGAGACAUAUAUCUCGGAGCUCCACAGCCUUGUACACUGAAGCAGACACAGCGCCAGGGUGAGUGUCGGAGAAAGAAAGGGAGAAAAACUGUGCAGGAACAUGCGGUAACAGUGGACAAGAAAAGAAAGUGUCACUUUUUAGACUAUGAUUUAGUCACAGUCACAGUUUACAGUAUCUACUGAACAUCCAGGCCAGGAACAUUCUCCACCAGAGCCCCCAUUUCCAGAAAUGUGAGUCACGACAUUUCUUCUAGUAAACUUUUUUUCUUAGAACUUCAAAGGAGAUCGACAUAUCUACUUCAAUUCAAAACAGAAAGUUCCUCAUGGAUAUGGAAAUGUACAAUAAAGUGCACAUUUUUCAGUUGCUCCUUACUGAGUGAAUAACAGCCAAACCCGACAAGAUCUGUAGAGUGAGCAGUUCCCAGGAAUGCGCUGGAUGCUCUCCAAAUGUUUUGCAGUCGACCUCACUGUAUUCAGUCUCCACAGAUGGUAUAUUCAUCAUGCGGUAUGGUAUGGAGUGUUUAUAUGUCCCUGCUCUGUUAUGAGUAACCAAAUAUACUGCCUGUAUUUUGUUUCUAUAAAAUACUGAGGACACAUUAGUCACUCCUUCCUUAGUCAACACAUUCCUAAGUGGAAGGUAAAAUGAUGAGACACGGCAUGUGAGCCAAGUGACUAAUGAGAAUGCCGUUCCUCAUAUUUUGGCUUGGGUUUCUGCAGGAUUCUAAGUAUGCUCUGACUAUACAGUUUUUUCACUGGUUCUGGUUAAAAUUAAAAAGAAAGCGAUAUUUAUUUGUCUGUCAUAAAAAAACAAUUAGAGGAUGAUUCACUUGCCAUGAGGCGAGGAACACAUUCUUAGAAAUACAGCGCCUUGCUAAAGUAUUCAUUCCGUUUCAACAUCUUUUUACACUACAAAUUCAAACUGAAAUGAAUUAUACUGGGAUUGUAAAAUAGCGAUAAAGUAGAGCGUAACUGUGACAUGAAGGAAAAAUAAUACAUGGUGUCAGGGUUUUGGGUUGUGUUUUGUGCAUAUUGUGCUUGCAACAUUGUGUUCAGUUUCCCAGAUGGUGCUGGAGUUCUCAGGUGCGCUGGGGGACAGGUGCGUCUUAUUCUGCUGAUUGCAUGGAGGAGUAUUUAAGCAGGAGGCUGCCAGCACUUCGACGCGAGAGUGUUUGCCUACAGUGGUAACGAACUCAGCCACGUCUAGUCUAAGCGUCGUUUUCAUGCUCUAAGUAACUUUGUGUAUGCUCCUUCGCAGGCUGAAACCCUGAUUCUUGGAUUUACCUCGCUGAACACAGACGUCAGUCUCAGAACUUCUGUGGGUUAAGACGUCCUACGUUUUUGAGGACUUCGUUUUAUGAACUACUGACUUCAACUGGAUUUCGCUCUGGCUGGCAGCCUUCCUGAUUCCUCCGUUUCUUGGAUCAAGACAUUGAGCGUGCCCUGUCCACCCUCCAACAUAAGCAUCUGCAUCUUGGAUAACUACAUGGUUUUUCCAGUCUCCCUCAAACAGCACCAGAGGAAACAUCAGAAUGAACUCUGCUCCGUAAACCAAAACCCCGAAUCCCUCAACCCCCGGUGACCUGACUGCAUCUUCUUAUUGGAGAUUCACCCAUUCAUGUUCCUGAUUACUUGUUGUACAAUAAAACAUUAUUUUACUGA